GCUGGGUGUGGUGGCACACACCUGCAAUCCCAGUAGCUCGGGAGGCUGAGGCAGGAGGAUUGCAAGUUCAAAACCAGACUCAGUAACUUAAUUUAGCAAGAUCCUGUCUCAA
rnacentral:sRNA from 1 species